rnacentral:piRNA from 1 species
UGAGCUGCUUGUUUGCUGUAUCAGUGU